CGCGCCUGAACAAGGUGAGGAAAGUCCGUGCAUUCAAGGACAAGUAGUCGGAGAAACUCCGAACAGCGUGAGCUGGUGGAUAGGACCACAGAAAUGCAGAUUGCGAGCUUUUGAGGGCAAUGGUUUGACGACUAAAUGGCAAAGCCAUUACAGACAACAACCCAAAACUUACUAAACGCGAACAAUCUAUAGACUGCCGAUGGACUAAAAGGUCACAGGCGAUGGUGCAACGGUGAGUUAAGAGCUUCACCAGCGGUACUGAGAAGUAUCGGCUAGGCAACCCCCUACUGAAUGCAAGAUUGAAUUGAAGGCUAUAAAGGCUGUCCGCCAACUUCAGAAAAAUCGCUAGAGAUUGAGAGUAAUCUCAAUACCAGACAGAUGAUUGUUUAGAAACAGAACACGGCUUAUGAGUUACUU
rnacentral:RNase_P_RNA from 1 species